CGGUUGGUUUCAUCGCACACCUCAGUUGUCAGUAACUCCACACACCUGACGACCUGUCGGCACUUUACGGUCCGUGUUCCUCGCUACAAGAAAAUGUAACUAAAUAUUUCAUGAGCAGGAUUAUUUUAAUUUCUUUUCUUUAGAGAAGUCAGUGUUCUUUUUUUAACCCAAAGUGGAGCGAGAGAAGUAAGAAGUAGUUAGGCGGCAACAAAAGAGCGGCAGAAGAAACAUUAGCUCCUCAUACUUCGCCAUUUGCUCUACAAAGAUCGUUAGUAGCAACGAGGAACACCUGCGGAACUACGACGUUAUUUCCUCGCCGAAGGACACAAAUAUGGCUCUCGGUGGGAAAACUUUGGACUCGCCGAUCUAGAGGCAGUCUGCCAAUAAUACGCCGGUUUGCCUGCCAAGGGUCUGGAGGCGGUGCUGAGUCUGCAACCUGAUGUGAGGCCACGUGCAUCAAAGGUCGUAAGUUUGGUGAUCCGGCAUCUGCAGGGAGAUGAAUGAUGGCGGGGAAAGUUCUGCAGAGGACUGGUACAAGAUCCAGACUCCAUAACGGUCUGCCUGCCUGGCCACGCCUAUAAGAACAGCUGCUAGGCAACACGUCACAGUGGUUAGGUGACCCUGCUGAAGAAGACUGCAGAUGACAGUAGGUGAAGAUUCCAUCUAAUAUACCGAAAAUACGAUCUGAUUACGAGAACAUUUUAAAAAUGUAUAUGAAUAAGAAAACAAAAUGAACCUUUUUGAGCUUGUUUACCUGCCAAGUGUGUGAGCUGGUGGCUACUCUCAUUGGCAAUAAAGCUAUCGCAACGUGGUAGUUUUUAGGGCUAGACAAUUCAUCGAAUUCUAAUCCCAAUUUCGAUUUUGGCUUCUCACAAUCAUAAAAAUAUACAAAAAAGAUAAAUGGGACGUGUAAUGUGAACGCAAAAACUUUAACUUGUGACAGUAAAACGUACGAGUGUGCAUAUGAAUG